rnacentral:rRNA from 1 species
UUUGAUCCUGGCUCAGAACGAACGCUGGCGGCGCGCCUAAUACAUGCAAGUCGAACGAGAAUGUGUAGCAAUACACAUGUAAAGUGGCGAACGGGUGAGGAUUACAUGGGUAACCUACCCUCGAGUGGGGAAUAACCAGCCGAAAGGUUGGCUAAUACCGCGUACGCUUCCCGGACUGCGGUUCGGGAAGGAAAGCGAUACCGUGGGUAUCGCGCUCUUGGAUGGGCUCAUGCCCUAUCAGCUUGUUGGUGAGGUAACGGCUCACCAAGGCUUCGACGGGUAGCUGAUCUGAGAGGAUGAUCAGCCACACUGGCACUGCGACACGGGCCAGACUCCUACGGGAGGCAGCAGUAAGGAAUAUUGCGCAAUGGGCGAAAGCCUGACGCAACGACGCCGCGUGGGGGAUGAAGUCCCUUGGGAUGUAAACUCCUUUCGAUCGGGACGAUAAUGACGGUACCGGAAGAAGAAG